GAUGAACGCUAGCGGCAGGCCUAAUACAUGCAAGUCGAACGGUGCAGCAAUGCAUAGUGGCGCACGGGUGCGUAACGCGUAUGCAACCUACCUAUCAGUGGGGAAUAGGCCCCGGGGGAAAACCCGGAUUAAUACCGCAUAAGAUCACAGGAUGGCAUCAUCAAGUGAUUAAACAUUUAUGGCUGACAGAUGGGCAUGCG
rnacentral:rRNA from 1 species